GUGAGAUGAACGAGUUUCAAAACAAAACAGUCUGCGAUUUUGAGAAAUGAUUCCCAGGAUGUAUGUGUGUUUCAGGGGCCAUCUGCACCUUGGAAGCAUACAAUGGAAGAAUGAUGGAAUAUACGAAGCUGUUGCAGGAAGUGACUUUGUCAUUACUAGAGUUGCAUUUCGAGACAACUCUUCAAAGUACUACAUAAAUGACCGUGGAAGUAAUUUUACGAAGGUCACUAAGAAACUAAAAGGAAAAAGAGUGGACUUGGACAACAAUCGGUUUUUGAUUCUUCAGGUGGGUGAUGGCUGAAAAAUGCCUAUUUACUUAUGAAAAAAAUAUCAUACUGUCAAAAUAUAUCUUCUCUUUCAAUUCUUUAUCAUUGAAAUUUCAGGGUGAAGUCGAACAAAUUUCUCUAAUAAAGCCAAAGAUUUGUAUUCUCAGCAUAAUUGUAAUUGUAAUUGUAAUUAAUUGAAUGAAGGAUUGUAAUUGAUUGUAAUUGUAAUUGAUUGAAUGAAGGAUUGUAAUUUAUUGUAAUUGUAAUUGAUUGAA